GAAAAAUAUCUCCUUCCCGGGAGAUAAUAUUUAAUUCUUCACCAUUUCCUCCUCCACCAGCAAAAGGCAUCUCCUUCUCGAUCUUCCUUUUCAAUUCUGAUUUGCUGAAAUUGGGGAUAUGGAGAGUGAAGCAGUGAGACGCAGAGUCCACAUGAUCGCUGCCCACUUUGCAUCAAAGGAUGAUCUCUCGCCAACCCAUCUUCUUCCUAUGAACUGCAGUGGGGCUUUGAACUCUGUGCUCCGAAGAUGUGAUAGUAAAAUAUAUUUUGCACGCCAAGCGUCUGCAUCCCUUGGUCCUUUUAUGAGGCAGGCUUCUCUUGCAUCGAAGGAUGAUAUCUCACAAACCGAUCUUCUCCCUAAGAACUGCUGUGAUAGUUUGAACUCUGUGCUUCGAAGAUGUGAUAACAAAAUUUAUUUUGCACGCCAAGCUUCUGCAUCUCUUGGUCCUUUUAUGAGGCAGAGUUCCCUUGAAGAGGGUCGCUUGACUUCCUCUGUCGCUCCCAAAUCCUGUGAUGUUGCAUCUGAGACUCCUUGUAAUGUAAGGGAACCUUGUUUUGCUAGACUUGCAAGGACAGAGUCAAAUUUCCAGAGUAGCUUGACUUCCUCUGUGGCUACCAAAUCCUGUGGUGUUGCAUCUGAGACUCCUUAUAAUGUAAGAGAACCUUGUUUUGCCAGACCUAUGGGGACCGAAUCAAACUUCUCAAAUGUUUCAAUGGGCCAGCCCCUGGUCCAGAGCUAUGAUGUUAUAGCACCGGACCCUCCUAGUUUCGCAAGACGAGGCAGACUGGCAGCAAAAAAUGAUCAGUUACAUUCUGAGAAGAAAAUGUGCCGUUCUGAAGUCAGCGGUGUAGAGUGGUCCCCAAGGAUGGAUAUUGCAGAAUCAGAAGGAAAAUAUGUUAUGACAGUGGAAGUUCCAGGUGUCAGUAUCAAGGACAUAAGAGUAGAGGUUGAUGAUCAAAAGUUGUCUGUCAAAGGUAAACGUUCCUCUAGCUUUUGGAGAGUCACUGGUAAUCCGAAUGGUUCAUUUUCUUCAUAUCACAGAAGAGAGAUAUUAUAUGGACCAUAUGAGGUUGUUUGGCCACUUCCUGCUAGUGUGAACAAGGACAGAGUAUCCGCUGAGUUUCUUCACUGGACUCUUGGCUGAUUAUAUUAAUUACUGACAAAGUUCAGAAUUAACAUUCUCAUUGUGGAUUAGUACUGUUAGGCCUGAGUUGUCAAUAUACAGUGGGAAGACUUGUGAAUCUAACAACUAUGGAUGGAUUUUUACAGAUUAUUAUUCCUAAGCUUUGAAGGUGAUGGAGCUGGUACCUAUCAUACUUGGAAUAUUCAUAUCUACAUAUAUCUUUUUCCUUGUAGCAUAUGAUAACUUCAUGCAUCUUCCUAUCAACCAUGUUCAUGGAGAAAAAAAGUGAGUGAUUGUGGCUGUGAGCCGAGAAUCUAUGUCUUCUCUCUUUUGUACGCUGCUCUAAAGAUAGAUGUUAUUACUGUGAAUCAGCCAUGUCCUCCUUUCCUUUUACGUAUACAAAGACAAUAACUCUGUGUGUGUGGAUGUGCUAGAGUAGAAUGGUAUAUAUUAUACUUUUUAAAUUA